AUCAACGCAAACAGCAACAACUUCAACAAACAACAGCUUCCUCACCCCAAAAAUUCACGAACAGUAAUAUAAGUCGUCCAAGUCAAAGACAGAUCUUAUCCCUGCGAAAUCCCCUCGAAUCUGCUGAGAUACAAUCUUCAAAAUCUCUUCACAUCUGAUAUCUUAAGCCUUCAUUGUUGACUUUAGGCUUAUUGUUGCCCAAAAUUCAAUCUUAUGGCAGAAUCAUCAAUCAAAUUCGGAUUAUGGAGAUAUGUUUUAUCUCAUCUCAUUUCAGCCUAUGUCAAAUCUGAAAAGGGGUUAAAUUUGAAAUUCAAAUUGAUUGUUUUUUACUAUAAAUAGCCGAACUUCCACCCUUUGAGAGGGAGCUUUUUUUUUAAGGUCUAAAAUUGAAAGAAAAGAGUGAAAACUAG
rnacentral:lncRNA from 1 species